rnacentral:rRNA from 1 species
GAUGAACGCUGGCGGCGUGCCUAAUACAUGCAAGUCGAGCGAACGGACGAGAAGCUUGCUUCUCUGAUGUUAGCGGCGGACGGGUGAGUAACACGUGGAUAACCUACCUAUAAGACUGGGAUAACUUCGGGAAACCGGAGCUAAUACCGGAUAAUAUUUUGAACCGCAUGGUUCAAAAGUGAAAGACGGUCUUGCUGUCACUUAUAGAUGGAUCCGCGCUGCAUUAGCUAGUUGGUAGGGUAACGGCUUACCAAGGCAACGAUGCAUAGCCGACCUGAUAGGGUGAUCGGCCACACUAGAACUUGAACGCGGUCCAGACUCCUACGGGAGGCAGCAGUAGGGAAUCUGCCGCAAUGGGCGAAAGCCUGACGGAGCAACGCCGCGUGAGUGAUGAAGGUCUUCGGAUCGUAAAGCUCUGUUAUUAGGGAAGAACAUAUGUGUAAGUAACUGUGCACAUCUUGACGGUACCUAAUCAGAAAGCCACGGCUAACUACGUG